rnacentral:lncRNA from 14 species
CAGUGGACAUGAUGGACAAGCUCCCACGGCAGAGCGCCAGCACUGACAGGAAGGAAUAAAUAGGGGAAAAACAGCUGAGAGAUUGGCCAUUUCCUCACAAAUGAGACAUCUGCUUUUCAGUCUGUUCUGGAUGAACAAGAGGGAAAUUCUCCCGGGAUGAUUACAGACCAUGAAAUUCAUCUGAAGCCUGGAUGCCAGCACACAGAGUCAAGAGGACAGGCACAG